AUGAGGUGGACUAUGCUUGUGAAAGCAUUUUAUGUCAUGUGGGACGGUUAUCCCACAAAUGAACUUGGUCUACGCAAAGGAUUUGGAUAUGUUGAGUUUGACAACAUUGAUGUUGUUCCCAAGGCACUGUUGCUUAACGAGUCCGAGCAAACAAUCUGUAUAAAUGGCCUUAGUCUCCCUCCGUUAGUUAUAUACUUAAAAUUUGGUUGCACUUCAGGUGUGUACUAA